UCAGGCCACAGAGCUGAGUGCAGGUUUGUGCUGCUGUGUGAGUUUUGUGUCUCUCUUCCUCCACUAGGGUGUGACAGGCAGGUGCAACUACACAGCUGCACCGCAUCAGGAGCAAUCACUGAAGAGCUUCAUAAGCACUCUGGAGAUGUCUGUUUACUCUGCUGAGUGAUUGCUGAUUGCUGAAUCCUACUGCAUGGCCCUGGCCCUUCCGUGUUGGCAACAGCAGAAUCUGCUUCCUGGAAAACCCACCGUGGUUCAGUCUCCUACUGGUCAGUAACUCCUUCAAUAAGGUUAUCUCAGCUUAAGAGUCGCUCAGAAGGAUCUGGAUCUGCCUGCAAGCUUGCUCCUUGCAUCACCUGCCUGUCCACCCUCCAAUGUCAAUGACUACCAAAGGAAGUCGUACCGCACCAUCACCUGCCAACCUCAGCCUCCGUGGCUUACCCGCUCCUUCUUGGAACCUACAAACUCUUCCACACAUAAGACCAAUAUUCACACCAUCCGGAUUCGCAAUGAUCUUCCUGACACUGACGGAUCUCUCUCUCUCUCAUAGUGAGCCAAUCCCUGCAGCCUUACGAUUACGGAAUCCUGACAGUGCCACAAAACAUCAUUUCAAUAAACCUGUUUAAACCUUU